rnacentral:misc_RNA from 1 species
GACAGAGGGUGCAAACGUUGCUCGGAAUCACUGGGCGUAAAGGGCGUGUAGGCGGGAAGGAAAGUCAGGUGUGAAAUCCCCAGGCUCAACCUGGGAACAGCAUUUGAAACUCCCUUUCUUGAGUGCCGGAGAGGAAAGUGGAAUUCCUGGUGUAGAGGUGAAAUUCGUAGAUAUCAGGAGGAACACCAGUGGCGAAGGCGGCUUUCUGGACGGUUACUGACGCUGAGACGCGAAAGCGUGGGGAGCAAACAGG